rnacentral:rRNA from 1 species
UACGGGGGGAGCAAACGUUGUUCGGAAUCACUGGGCGUAAAGGGCGUGUAGGCGGCCCGAUAAGUCCGCUGUGAAAGUCCAGGGCUCAACCCUUGGAUGCCGGUGGAUACUGUCGGGCUCGAGUCCGGAAGAGGAGUGUGGAAUUCCUGGUGUAGCGGUGAAAUGCGCAGAUAUCAGGAGGAACACCAAUGGCGAAGGCAGCACUCUGGGACGUGACUGACGCUGAGACGCGAAAGCGUGGGGAGCGAACAGG